rnacentral:misc_RNA from 1 species
GAAAUGCGAUAAGUAAUGUGAAUUGCAGAAUUCAGUGAAUCAUCGAAUCUUUGAACGCACCUUGCGCUCCUUGGUAUUCCGAGGAGCAUGCCUGUUUGAGUGUCAUGAAAUCUUCAACCUAUAAACCUUUGCGGGUUUGUAGGCUUGGAUUUGGAGGCUUGUCGGCCUAACGGUCGGCUCCUCUUAAAUGCAUUAGCUUGAUUCCUUGCGGAUCGGCUCUCGGUGUGAUAAUUGUCUACGCCGCGACCGUGAAGCGUUUGGCGAGCUUCUAAUCGUCUCUUAUGAGACAACACAUUGACCUCUGACCUCAAAUCAGGUAGGACUACCCGCUGAACUUAA